UGUGAAUAUGAUGAGAUUUGGGGCACUGAUUCACAUGACGUGAAAAGCCAUCCAUUUCCUGAUUCACA